rnacentral:rRNA from 1 species
AACAUAGGAGACAAACGUUAUCCGGAGUUACUGGGCGUAAAGGGCGUGUAGGCGGUUUGUUAAGUCUGGCGUGAAAGCUCUCGGCUAAACCGGGAGAGGUCGUUGGAUACUGGCGAACUAGAGGAUGGUAGAGGCGUGUGGAAUUCCGGGUGUAGUGGUGAAAUGCGUAGAGAUCCGGAGGAACACCAGUGGCGAAGGCGACACGCUGGGCCAUACCUGACGCUAAAGCGCGACAGCAUGGGGAGCAAACGGG